GAGGGUGCGAGCGUUGUCCGGAAUCACUGGGCGUAAAGGGCGCGUAGGUGGCGACCCAAGUCGAUGGUGAAAGCUCGCCGCUCAACGGCGAGUCGGCCACCGAUACUGGGUUGCUCGAGCACUGUAGAGGCUAAUGGAAUUCCGGGUGUAGCGGUGGAAUGCGUAGAGAUCCGGAAGAACACCGGUGGCGAAGGCGGUUAGCUGGGCAGUUGCUGACACUGAGGCGCGACAGCGUGGGGAGCAAACAGGAUUAGAUACCCUGGUAGUCCACGCCGUAAACGAUGGGCACUAGAUGCUUGGGGGAGCGACCCCCUGAGUGUCGCCGCUAACGCAUUAAGUGCCCCGCCUGGGGAGUACGGCCGCAAGGCUG
rnacentral:rRNA from 1 species